rnacentral:rRNA from 2 species
CUUUUCUUGUUAGUCUCUGAAGUAUGGCCUGCCCGCUGACGUAUAUUAGAGUUGAAGGGCCGCGGUAUUUUGACCGUGCAAAGGUAGCAUAGUCAUUAGUUCUUUAAUUGUGAUCUGGUAUGAAUGGCUUGACGAGACAUGGGCUGUCUUGGUUAUGGAUUUAUUGUUGAAUUUGGAGUUUAAGUUAAAAUUCUUAGAUGUUUUUAUGGGACGAGAAGACCCUAUAGAGUUUGACAUUUGAUUGCGUAUUUCUCAUUGUUUGUUUUGAAUUUUUGCGUAUCUUUUGUUUUGUUGGGGUGAUGGGAGGAAAUUAUUUAACUCCUCUUUUAUGUGGUAUAUUGAUUUAUAUUUAUUUUGAUCC